rnacentral:rRNA from 1 species
UACGUAGGGUGCAAGCGUUGUCCGGAAUUAUUGGGCGUAAAGAGCUCGUAGGCGGUUUGUCGCGUCGGCUGUGAAAACUCGGGGCUCAACCCCGAGCCUGCAGUCGAUACGGGCAAACUAGAGUGCUGUAGGGGAGACUGGAAUUCCUGGUGUAGCGGUGGAAUGCGCAGAUAUCAGGAGGAACACCGGUGGCGAAGGCGGGUCUCUGGGCAGUAACUGACGCUGAGGAGCGAAAGCGUGGGUAGCGAACAGG